rnacentral:rRNA from 1 species
GUGACCUGGGAAGGAUCAUUA